rnacentral:rRNA from 1 species
GACGAACGCUGGCGGCGUGCUUAACACAUGCAAGUCGAACGAAGUGGCGAACGGGUGAGUAACGCGUAAUCAACCUGCCCUUCAGAGGGGGACCACAGUUGGAAACGACUGCUAAUACAGCAUACUGAAGGAGGGGAUUGCGUCUGAUUUGCUAGGUGGGGGGGUAACGGCCAACCAAGGCGAUGAUCAGUAGCCGGUCUUAGGGGAUGAACGGCAACCAUGGGACUGAGACACGGCCCAGACCCCUACGGGAGGCAACAGUGGGGAAACUUCCGCAAUGGACGAAAGUCUGACGGAGCAACGCCGCGUGGGUGAUGACGGCCUUCGGGUUGUAAAGCUCUGUUAAUCGGGACGCGGUACCGGAAUAGAAAGCCACGGCUAACUACGUGCCAGCAGCCGCGGUAAUAC